AGAACGAACGCUGGCGGCAUGCCUAACACAUGCAAGUCGAACGCUUCCGGGGCUUCGGUCGCGGAGGAGUGGCGCACGGGUGAGUAGCGCGUGGGAACCUGCCCUGUUGUGGGGGAUAACCGAGGGAAACUUCGGCUAAUACCGCAUACGCCCCGGGACUUGGUCUUCGGAUUAGGUCUGGGGGGAAAGAUUGAUCGCAGCAGGAGGGGCCCGCGUCGGAUUAGCUGGUUGGUGGGGUAACGGCUCACCAAGGCGAUGAUCCGUAGCUGGUCUGAGAGGAUGAUCAGCCACACUGGGACUGAGACACGGCCCAGACUCCUACGGGAGGCAGCAGUGGGGAAUAUUGGACAAUGGGGGCAACCCUGAUCCAGCAAUGCCGCGUGAGUGAUGAAGGCCCUAGGGUUGUAAAGCUCUUUCGCCCGCGACGAUGAUGACGGUAGCGGAGAAGAAGCCCGGCUAACUUCGUGCCAGCAGCCGC
rnacentral:rRNA from 1 species